rnacentral:lncRNA from 1 species
UUAUGAACGUGAUUUUCACAUGGAUGCUGCAGAUCUGAACUCAGACCCCCAUGUUUGCAUAGCAAGCCCUCAACCCACUGAACCACCUCUCCAGCCCUUCGGUGCUCUUAAUUUAAACUCUACCAUCGAGCCGUUCUUCCUGCUAUUUGCCUUAGUAAAAGCCAAUUUCACUAUUGCCCCCACUCAAACCAAACCCGAUGAAGCUUUCUUUUCUUACAUAUACACUUUUGAUUUUUAUAUUUUAAAAAAUUAGGUGUAUGUGUUUGUGCAUGGGAGAUGUGGAUAUGUGCAUAUGUGUGCAGAUGCCUACAGAGGCCAGAGGCAUCUGAUCCCCCCAAAGCUGAGACAAUUGAGAGCUGUGGGAGACUCAAUUCCUCUGCAAAAGCAGUAUGUGGUCUUGACCACUGAGCUAUCUCGCCAGCCCCUGUAAGUAUUUUUAUUUUGAUAGCUUCUUCUUCUUUUUUUUUUUUUUAACAGAAUGCAAUGCCCACCAUGCACACUGUUCCUAGUGCUAAAUAAAAGUGUCCAAAGCCUACAAAACUACUACUUGUCACGGAUUCAGAUUUCUAAUUAGGAGACAGAGGACAGCGGAACACCUGGGUCAGCUGCUGACCAGUGUGGUGAGAGAACACCAGCGCAGGGCAGAGGGCAGAGGCUGAAGGAGGAGGGUGGAACACUGCUGCUUCAUUAGGAGACACGUCGUGGAGAAGGUGGACUUUGUCUAAAGAUCUGAAGGCAAAGAUGAGGUGCUACCUGAGGAAGAGUCUUCUAGAACAAGGGGGCCCAGUGUGCAAAGACACUUGGAGUAGAGGCUCUGGUCUUGGCAAACAUGUGUACUCUAUUCAGUCCCUUAGAGAACACCACGGGCUCGUCAUCUGAAAUACAGCGUCCACCCUCAUUGCUUUCUCUCUUCCUCAGACCACACUUCAAUAAUCACUGCCUCAUUACUUUCAUGGUCUAAUUUCUGGACCCCUAUAUCUUGUCCCCCACACACAUACACUUAUACCCUCUUCAGCAUAGAUGCUAUGUGAUUCUAUUAAAACAAGUCUAUUCGUGCUAGGUUUCAAAGUCUCCCAUGGUUUCACAAAUCACGCCACACAAAUGCCUCGCAUCUUGUCCAUUGCCUGCUCAGCCCCCACCCCCACCCCCUGCCUCUAACCCGUCACUCAUAUGCCUAAACUCGCUCACUCAGCCUCGUCUCCAGUCCUUCAGACUCCUCCUGUUCUACAAGCUUCGGAAGUCAGCAUUUAUCUGGCAUUAAGAACAGCGUGUGUGGUAGCUACUCAAUAGCUCCUUGUUGAAAAGGGUACUGCUCUGUCACUGGAAAAAGCCUUGAGCGUAUGAAUACACAUGCUGUGGUAACUGAGCUCUGUGACAUCCCUCAAUGACCCUUGCCUUCUGGCUGCCCUGCCUUGGUGGACUCUCCUCCCACAAUGGAUCAGAGUGAACCUAUUUGACCCAGAGAUUACAUGAUGGUGUGUGACUUCCCAGAUUAGAUUACAAGACAUAGAACAAUCACUACUUUUUCCUCUGAGGGGCGCCAGUUGCCGUGGGAGCACUCAUCUACCCUGAAAGUGAGUUCAGUGGCAAGUGACUGAGACCUCCAUCCAAUAACCAGUACCACCCCCAUCUAGUAACCAAUACCACUUCCCCAUCUAAUAACCAAUAUUACCCACCCAUCCCCAUUUAAUGACCAACACCAUUUGCCAGCCACUGAAAGAGAUUUGCCUGCUUAUAACUAAGUUUUCAUAUGGCCACAACUUUGGUCAACAUCUUGACUAAAACUUCAUGAGUGACUGUCCAAGGCAGAACCAAUCAGCUGAUGUUCUCAUUUCUGGUACACAGGUAACAUUCGAGACUACCCUUACUGUUUAGUGGUACUGCUUUGGGAGAAAUUUAUACCUGGAUUUACUAUAUGGAAAUGCUGUAUCCGAAAUCUAAAAUGUGAGUAGAAUCCUGCAAUCCAACACUGAGUAAGAACCAGGAGGAUAAAGAUGAAGAUGAAGAUAAAGUGAAAACACUAAACGACUUUGAAGUGACAGCCACUGGGGCUAAUGGGACAUGAGGAAAACAUCACUCUGCAUGAGAAGAAAGGAGAACCUUUUUAAGUACUGAGAGGCAAGAUGGCGUCCAAAGCUGAUUAUGAAGGAGGAGGUUCAUCCUCAGCAACCUUCAAGCUUGCUCAUUUCUAAGUAGCAAACACUAUCAACAAUCAUGAAGUCUGGAGCUUAGAAGAAUGUGGUAAUGUGCAGGACUAGAAGGGAGGGAGCCCUGUUUCGAGGUUGCAUCCACACUUUUAAACUCUCCUGAAGUCUCUAUGAUAAGAGGAAUCUAACCGAAACGAUUGGCUUGCAAACAUCUCGGCACUACUAAGUACAACACACACAGGGCCAUUCUAUCAAAGCCUUGAGUUAGAGGUCCGCUCUGAGAACCAUGCUCUGCAGACCAUGCUCUGAGGACCACGCCCCGCUGUGAGAAAAACAGAGCCGACCUCACACCUUGGUACCUCCCCGUCUUCAAUAGAUUAAAAAGGACUGCAGCAAGAGCUUGCAAGCCUCUCUCUCACUUCCUCUCUCUUGCUCAGGAGAACUGUGAGAACUAACUGUUGAUCUGAAAGCAACCAUGAUUUGCUACAGAGGUGCGAGCUUGCACAGAGACCUGUGAAAUCCCACAGAACACAGGAAGUGUCUAAUUCCGCUGGAUCGGGCUGGUGUCAAGGCAGCUGACAGCUUCAGAGCCAAGAGCCUCCAGAAUCCUUUUUGGUAAGGAAUGUCAGCUACAAGGGGAAUCCCUACCUCACCAUCUACACAGAGUUCAAAGGAAAUGCAGAUUUAAUCAUUUGGUUUCUGUGUGACUUUCAAGUCAAAGUGAAACUAGAAUGUGAAUAUCAGAGCGUGUGAACCUUUUUGGUACGAAGCCUGGGUUCCCCUCUUACUGCUGCGGUGUGUAGAGGAUUGUGCAAUGUAAUAGCAGCAUCCAAGAUACACAGGGUCUCUGCUUCGACUCUCAAGAUGACUGCUGAUGCUCGGAGCUGAGCUGCAGAGUGCAGCAGCUCAUUGUUUGGGCCAGGAGUGUGCACGUGAAAAAUGACUCGCCGCACACUCUGCUUCCAUUCUGGUGCUCCGGGAAUGGAUUGACUUCAAAGAACUCUUUAAAAAUUAAAGUUAGGGGGACUGGAGAGAUGGCUCACUGGUUGAGAUUACUGACCGCUCUUCCAGAGGAGCCAGGUUCAAUUCCCAGCACCUAUAUGGCAGUUCAUAACUGUCUGUAACUCCAAGAUCUGACACCCUGAUGCAGACAUACAUGCAAACAAAACACCAAUGCACAUGAAAUAAAACUAAACUUAGAAUGCCACCUAGCAGUAGUGAAACUAAGUUCAAUCCCCAGAGCCAUUAAAUAAAUAUAAUGCAUGUAUAUGCAUAUAUACAUAUACAUAAUCUAUUUAUAAUUUAUAUUUCUCCAUUGGUGAACAAAAGUUAGAAUACAUGUUCAUUGUUAAAAAUAAGAAACAGAACACGGGUGAUGACCAACCUAAACAUCACCAGUGUGGUCUUACACAAAUAGGUUCCCUUUUCUUAUUUCAUUUAGAAACCCACUAAGCAAUUGGUGUAAUACUCCAUUUAGAGCAAGAACACCACAGAGUUGUCUCUGAUAUCCACAUAAAUGCUAUGACAUGCUUGCCUCCCUAUAUACACACAUCAUGUAUGUGUGUGUGUAAACACAUACACACACACACACACACACACACACACACACAGAGAGAGAGAGAGAGAGAGAGAGAGAGAGAGAGAGAGAGAGAGAGAUAUUAAAAAUAAAUCUAGUACCAGAACCUGAGUUUGAUCCCCCAAACCAUGUAAAAAAAAAAUCCAACCAUGUGAUGUAUGCUUGUAAUUCUAGCUCAGGGGAGGGAGAGCCAGGCAGACAGAUCCCUUUGUCUGAAGAAAGAAAGUGGAUGUCUCCAUGGAAGGACACCUGAAGUUAACCUCUGACCCCCACAGGCAUGCACAUGCAUAUGAACAUGUACCCACACACAUGAACAUACACAGGAAAACACUUCUCUUACGCCAUGCAUACCAUAAUUUGUAUAAAAUUCCACCAUAAAGGAGAGCUGGUUUCAGCUUCCUUUAUUAUAAACUAUACUGCAGCAACUAUAUGUGAAUACACAUUUUUUUCUGUUUAGCAUCAAUUUCGUACUAUUAAAUUUUCAAAAAAUUGAAAUUAAGACCAAAUUUCAGUGGUUUUUAAUGUUUCAUAAUUAACUUUGCUUCUUUACCAUGGCUUUAAAAAUAUUUAUAAAGGGCUGGAGAGAUGGCUUAGCUGUUAAGAGCACUUGGCUGCUCUUUCAGAAGUCCUGAGUUCAAAACACCAAUGCACAGAAAAUAAAAAUACAAAAUAAAACCCAACAAAAACCUAUAAGAUACCAAUUAUGAGGACAAACUUGGGGUCUCAAACUUUAUAAAUACUUCUUGAAACAUGCAAGACUGCCUUGGUAAGUAGGCCACUUAACCAGUGGGAAGGGACUGUGUCCGGCUGCCCUCAGCGAAAGGCAAUGGUCUGUGUUCCCAAGGUCACCAGGCCCCUUUGUCCAUUCUUCCCGUUAGCCCCAGGGUGGCCACCUUGGUGAAAUCUCCUAUUUCUGUUUUCACCAUAAUCCAUUUUUAAAUUUGUGUUUCAGGAGAGGCAGCUGAGCCCUGCUUAUUGGUGCUGCCAGAGAAAUGACACUUUUGGGGAAUGAGCCACUCAAAGGAACUUGACUGAAAAGGGAGCAGAAGGAUGGAAUGGCCCCAGGGACCUGUGGUCCUUCCUGAUCCCUUGGUGUUUUGAGGCUCUUUUGAACUCUUUGGAUUCACUUUGAACUAA